rnacentral:tRNA from 1 species
GGGGUCUUAGCUCAGCUGGGAGAGCGCCUGUUUUGCACGCAGGAGGUCAGGAGUUCGAUCCUCCUAGGCUCCACCA